UUCUAACAUAUAUAAUAUUUGCACAUAAUAUUUUAUUUACAAAUAGAUAAUGCUAUGAUAGGUUUUUUAAAUACCCGUUAUUAAACUAUUUAGCAGUUUAAUUAAAUGCGAAUAAAAAUACAGAGCCUUUUUUUUUAAGACAUUCAAUUCAGUUGUCUAAGACAGUUAGAAGUUGUAUUAAAACAAGGUUUUUACUUAAUAUACAUAAUAUAUUGAGUAUAAAUUUAAGGCAAUUAAGUUAUAUUAAGACAAUGUCUUAAUCAUAAUAUAUAUUUUAUUUAUUUGAAUGGAAAGUUUUUUGGUUUGUUGUGGAACUAGACUAGAAAUUACUUAAUAAGCUUCUUGUUUCUUUUACGAAUUUGUAUAUUGGUAUAAUCAUAUCAUGCUAUUCCUGCAAUAUUAUAACACACACUGACUCUUAUAAGUUUGAGUCUCAAGUCACGAAAAAAGUUAAUGUUGCUAAACGAUUUACAGUCAAUAAUCUUUCGAAAGCAGAAAAACUCAGUGUAAAACAAAGAAUACGCGAAUUAUUUGAGAUAUAAUUGAAAUUUGCAAAGAAAGUAAAAAUCAAACUAGUUUCAUUCUAAGUUAUUGUAUAUAAUUUUAAAAUUUUGGAAUAGAAGUAAUGCAAUGUUUAUUUAUUUUUAGUCUUUUAAUUUCCGUAUUCAAUUAUUUGCCCGAACUAAUAUAAUAAUCGUGUAUAACCUAAAUAAAUAAGAAAAAA